rfam:Gossypium raimondii Chr03_contig_1030, whole genome shotgun sequence.
AAUAGGAGAAUGACAAAUCAGAUUUUUCUCCUGAUUCUCAGGUUUUUUUUUCCUGAAAAAAUUCAAAUCCAACUAAAAAAAGCUGAAAAUUAGGAGGAAAAAUCAAAUUUGUCAUUUUCCUAUU